rnacentral:rRNA from 1 species
AAACCGACACAGGUGGUCAGGUAGAGAAUACCAAGGCGCUUGAGAGAACUCGGGUGAAGGAACUAGGCAAAAUGGUGCCGUAACUUCGGGAGAAGGCACGCUGAUAGGUAGGUGAAGCCCCUGCGGGUGGAGCUGAAAUCAGUCGAAGAUACCAGCUGGCUGCAACUGUUUAUUAAAAACACAGCACUGUGCAAACACGAAAGUGGACGUAUACGGUGUGACGCCUGCCCGGUG